rnacentral:rRNA from 1 species
GAUGAACGCUGGCGGCGUGCCUAAUACAUGCCAGUCGAGCGAACGGACGAGAAGCUUGCUUCUCUGAUGUUAGCGGCGGACGGGUGAGUAACACGUGGAUAACCUACCUAUAAGACUGGGAUAACUUCGGGAAACCGGAGCUAAUACCGGAUGAUAUUUUGAACCGCAUGGUUCAAAAGUGAAAGACAGUCUUGCUGUCACUUAUAGAUGGAUCCGCGCUGCAUUAGCUAGUUGGUAAGGUAACGGCUUACCAAGGCAACGAUGCAUAGCCGACCUGAGAGGGUGAUCGGCCACACUGGAACUGAGACACGGUCCAGACUCCUACGGGAGGCAGCAGUAGGGAAUCUUCCGCAAUGGGCGAAAGCCUGACGGAGCAACGCCGCGUGAGUGAUGAAGGUCUUCGGAUCGUAAAACUCUGUUAUUAGGGAAGAACAUAUGUGUAAGUAACUGUGCACAUCUUGACGGUACCUAAUCAGAAAGCCACGGCUAACUACGUG